rnacentral:misc_RNA from 1 species
UUAACUUAUUUGUUUUAUACUCAGAGAUACCACUAUAAUACAGAGUUUCAUACCUCCGGCGGGUGCCCCAUACCUCCUGAGAGGCGGGGCUGCGGUCCCCCGUGAGGGGAGCCGCGCCGCCGAAGCAACUUGGAUAAGUUCGCGAUGGUUUUAAGUAGCCUUUCGGCUUCUUGUAAUGAUCCCUCCGCUGGUUCACCAACGGAGA